AUUGAACGCUGGCGGCGUGCCUAACACAUGCAAGUCGAGCGGUAACAGGUGUAGCAAUACAUGCUGACGAGCGGCGGACGGGUGAGUAACGCUUGGGAAUCUGCCUAUUAGUGGGGGACAACCCGGGGAAACUCGGGCUAAUACCGCAUACGCUCUACGGAGGAAAGCCGGGGACCGCAAGGCCUGGCGUUAAUAGAUGAGCCCAAGUCGGAUUAGCUAGUUGGUAGGGUAAUGGCCACCAAGGCGACGAUCCGUAACUGGUCUGAGAGGACGACCAGUCACACCGGAACUGAGACACGGUCGGACUCCUACGGGAGGCAGCAGUGGGGAAUAUUGGACAAUGGGCGAAAGCCUGAUCCAGCGACGCCGCGUGGGUGAAGAAGGCCUGCGGGUUGUAAACCUCUUUUCAGCUCCGACGAAGCGGAAGUGACGGUAGAGCAGAAGAAGCACCGGCCAACUACGUGCCA
rnacentral:rRNA from 1 species